GGUUCUAUGGUUUAAUGGUUAGCACUCUGGUCUUUGAAUCCAUUGACCUGAGAUCAUGUCUCAGUAGGACCU
rnacentral:tRNA from 1 species